AGGACCACCCCAAAAAAAUCCAUCUAGCUAUAAAAUUUGGUACAGUAAAAUCACACAAACAUCUAUUUCUCAGAUACUGGUAGAGACUGAUUUCGAAAGAACCUGAGGCUGUUUUGUUUGUGGUUGUGCAAACUCCAACCCUGAAAAAGAGUUACCUGUAGUCAACAGAGCAUUGAUGGCGAUUCACAACCCUGGAGAGCAUUGAAGAAGAUGUGGUUAAAUUCAUAAACGCUUUACCAGAGUCCAGUCAGGGGACUGGAGGAGUCAUCAGGUCACCAGGCUCAUUCAUGACAGGUCAUACAGGAUAUGAUGACCUCCUAG
rnacentral:lncRNA from 1 species